GAUGAACGCUGGCGGCGUGCCUAAUACAUGCAAGUCGAGCGAACAGACGCGGCGCUUGCUCCUCUGACGUUAGCGGCGGACGGGUGAGUAACACGUGGAUCACCUCCUUAUAAGACUGGGAUAACUUCGGGACACCGGAGCUAAUACCGGAUAAUAUCUUGCACCGUAUGGUUCAAUAGUGAAAGACGGUUUUGCUGUCACUUCUCGCUGGAUCCGCGCCGGAUUAGCUAGUUGGUAAGGUAACGGCUUACCACGGGGACGAUGCGUGGCCGACCUGAGAGGGUGAACGGCCACUGUGGAGGUGAGACGCGGCCCAGACACCUACGGGAGGCAGCAGUAGGGAAGCGACCGCAAAGGGCGAAAGCCUGACGGAGCAACGCCGCGUGGGUGAAGAAGGUCUUCGUAUCGGAAAACGCUGUUAUUAGUGAAGAACAAAUGUGUAAGUAACGAAGCACGUCUGGACGUUACCUAAACAGAAGGCCACGGCUAACUACUU
rnacentral:rRNA from 1 species